UCCCGUUCGAUCACCGAAGUUAAGCAACAUUGAACCUGGUCAGUACCUUGAUAGGUGACCGUUUGGGAAUACCGGGUGGUGUAA